GAGACACCCUUAUGGGUAGGGCUUGCUUCAGUGGGGCUUUGGUGCUCACUGAGUCUGCUUCUUGAGUGUGUCCCU
rnacentral:pre_miRNA from 1 species